rnacentral:rRNA from 1 species
GAUGAACGCUGGCGGCGUGCCUAAUACAUGCAAGUCAAGCGAACAGACGAGGAGCUUGCUCCUCUGACGUUAGCGGCGGACGGGUGAGUAACACGUGGAUAACCUACCUAUAAGACUGGGAUAACUUCGGGAAACCGGAGCUAAUACCGGAUAACCUUUUGAACCGCAUGGUUCAACAGUGAAAGACGGGCUUGCUGUCACUUAUAGAUUGAUCCGCGGCGCAUUAGCUAGUUGGUAAGGUAACGGCUUACCAAGGCAACGAUGCGUAGCCGACCUGAGAGGGUGAUCGGCCACACUGGAACUGAGACACGGUCCAGACUCCUACGGGAGGCAGCAGUAGGGAAUCUUCCGCAAUGGGCGAAAGCCUGACGGAGCAACGCCGCGUGAGUGAAGAAGGUCUUCGGAUCGUAAAACUCUGUUAUUAGGGAAGAACAAAUGUGUAAGUAACUAUGCACGUCUUGACGGUACCUAAUCAGAAAGCCACGGCUAACUACGUGCCAGCCGCCGCAGUAA